AAACUCCGGGCCAGCAGCCGCGGUAAUACGGAGGGGGUUAGCGUUGUUCGGAAUUACUGGGCGUAAAGUUUCCACGUAGGCGGAUCAGAAAGUAUGAGGUGAAAUCCCGGGGCUCAACCCCGGAACUGCCUUGUAAACUCCUGGUCUUGAGUUCGAGAGAGGUGAGUGGAAUUCCGAGUGUAGAGGUGAAAUUCGUAGAUAUUCGGAGGAACACCAGUGGCGAAGGCGGCUCACUGGCUCGAUACUGACGCUGAGGUGCGAAAGUGUGGGGAGCAAACAGGAUUAGAUACCCUGGUAGUCCACACCGUAAACGAUGAAUGCCAGACGUCAGCAAGCAUGCUUGUUGGUGUCACACCUAACGGAUUAAGCAUUCCGCCUGGGGAGUACGGUCGCAAGAUUAAAACUCAAAGGAAUUGACGGG
rnacentral:rRNA from 1 species